rfam:Medicago truncatula strain A17 chromosome 2, whole genome shotgun sequence.
GAUGGAUUUCAAACCAAUCCAUUAACAAACGUUUUAUUUGAUGGAUGGAUUAGAUGGAUUUUAUA